AGAGUUUGUCAUGGCUCAGGAUGAACGCUAGCUACAGGCUUAACACAUGCAAGUCGAGGGGCAGCGUGUACAGGUGCUUGCACCAGUAUGACGGCGACCGGCGCACGGGUGAGUAACGCGUAUCCAACCUGCCAUAUACUCGGGGAUAGCCCGGUGAAAACCGAAUUAACCCCCGAUGAGAUUCCUUGCGGACAUCCAACUGGAAUCAAAGUUUGACGGUAUAUGAUGGGGAUGCGUCUGAUUAGCUUGCCGGCGGGGUAACGGCCCACCGGGGCAUCGAUCGGUAGGGGUUCUGAGAGGAAGGUCCCCCACACUGGUACUGAGACACGGACCAGACUCC
rnacentral:rRNA from 1 species